GACGAACGCUGGCGGCGUGCUUAACACAUGCAAGUCGAACGGAAAGGCCCUGCUUUUGUGGGGUGCUCGAGUGGCGAACGGGUGAGUAACACGUGAGUAACCUGCCCUUGACUUUGGGAUAACUUCAGGAAACUGGGGCUAAUACCGGAUAGGAGCUCCUGCUGCAUGGUGGGGGUUGGAAAGUUUCGGCGGUUGGGGAUGGACUCGCGUCUUAUCAGCUUGUUGGUGGGGUAGUGGCUUACCAAGGCUUUGACGGGUAGCCGGCCUGGGAGGGUGACCGGCCACAUUGGGACUGAGAUACGGCCCAGACUCCUACGGGAGGCAGCAGUGGGGAAUAUUGCACAAUGGGCGGAAGCCUGAUGCAGCAACGCCGCGUGCGGGAUGACGGCCUUCGGGUUGUAAACCGCUUUCGCCUGUGACGAAGCGUGAGUGACGGUAAUGGGUAAAGAAGCACCGGCUAACUACGUG
rnacentral:rRNA from 1 species